UAAGCAGCGCAUCGUCUUCUUAUCGGGUUGGCAAAAGGCUACUCAUCGUCUUCUUCAUCGGGCAAAGAAGCGAGCGAGAGAGAGAGAGAGAUGAGCGCAGAACUAAUCCAAGACCUCCUCGCCUCAGUUCUCGAUGAUGCAGCUAUCUGAUACCUCUUGAGGAUGAUUUUCUUUUGGAUUUGGCGGAGUAUUUGUUGACCGGAAGGCGAAUCUGCCACGCCAAGAAGGUAGGCGCAGAACUAAUCCAAGACCUCCUCGCCUCAGUUCUCGAUGAUGCAACUAUCUGAUACCUUUUGAGGAGGAUUUGCUUUUGGAUUUGGCAGAGUAUUUGUUGACUGGGAGGGGGAUCUGCCGCGCCAAGAAGGGUUUCUAUCGGAUCAACAGACAAGCUGCGAGAUGGAGAAGAAGAUGGUUUCUAUUGGUCCCACGGACAAGUGGCGAGAUGGAGAUUAAGAUGUGAUUAUCACAAGUGGGCAGUUUCAUAAUUUAUUGGCUGAAUUCUGAACUUUGUGUACUUGAAGAAGAUUUUUGCUUGCGGUUUAGAAAGCUGAUCUUCUCCCAACAAAAUGGAAAGGCAACAGGAUUGUUUCAGAAUUCAUUUGCUGAAUUAUGAACUUUGUGUACUUGAUGAAGAUCUUUUCUUUGCUUGCUAUUUAGAAAGCUAAUCUUCUCCCAACAAAAUGGAAAGACAAUAGAAUUGAAAGUUUUGAUUUACACCAGAUUCUUUUGUGCAAUCCUGAUGACAUUUACUCAAAGGAAAUAGCAGACAAGGAGCCACAAUAUCAACAAUUUGAAUUCCUCUGGAUGGGAUAUUUUGAGAACUUUAUCAGGUGCAGCUGCAUAUUGUAUGUCUACUCCACGAUUUGCAAAAAUUUGGUGGGAUAAAGGAUGUGACUUGAGAAGAUCAAUUUUGAUAUGGCGACCGGUAGGAUGCCCAGCUUUUGGCACACUUGGUGAUUGUGUGAUACAAGGGUUAGACAUUGGCUCUUCUUAUGUUUUAUAAAUGAUACAAAAUUUGUGAUAUAAUAAUUCACAAUUUACUUGUUUCUGUUUAGAACCACCAGCUUUAGAUUGAUAACAUAAUUUGUGUUUAUCAUAACUCACGAGUUACUCAUUUGUCUCAAUGUGACAAUCCAUCAAUUUCUGCAAGUCCUGUAUAAUUCGCUAAAGUUGCACAUAUUUCUGGAAAAGGAUUUGAUCAGGGUUUUUUUCUGGUAUCCAAUUCCUCCUGGCUAUGUUUCAUUUGAUUGAGUGGUGACAACAACUGAUUAUUCACCAAAAAGGGAUUCAUAACUCACGAGUUACUCAUUUGUCUCAAUGUGACAAUCCAUCAAUUUCUGCAAGUCCUAUAUAAUUCGCUAAAGUUGCACAUAUUUCUAGAAAAGGAUUUGAUCAGACUUUUUUUCUGGUAUCCAAUUCCUCCUGGCUAAGUUUCAUUUGAUUGAGUGGUGACAACAACUGAUUAUCCACCAAAAAAGGAUUUUGUCUGCUGUCCUAGAUCAGAUCUGUUAACCAAACAAAUGUUGCUAGUGAACCCAUUUCUAGGUCAUCUAGUUCAAAGGGCACAAAUUGGUAGAGUAUCUGGAAAGUUGAGAAUCAGGUAUCCCCCAAUUUUUUUGUUAUUCUCUUCUAUUUCACGUCCUGAUGUCUUCUUAUUCUUGACCUGUACUUUUCUUGCAUGUUUUGAUCACAUUAUACCAAUAACCCGAUUGGUGUACAAAUUUAGUGACUAUGCCAAAGCUAAAGCACAUGAAAAUGUUGCUGCUGAGUUGAAGUUGGAACUUCUCUCACUGAGUGUUUUGGACAAUUUUUGUGGAACCAUGAGUAGCCUUGUCUUGCUUACAUUGGUCUUAGAAAGAAGACACUUCAGUCUUCUUAUUUACUGUAUUAAUGCUUACUUUUGAUUUGGUUCAGAUGACGCCACUUCUUGACACAACAGUGACAAAUAUUACACAUGGGAAUUUUCAGGCAAUGAAUGUUGUUCUAAUAUGUUCAAUUGCUUCAUCCACAUUCAACAGACAACUAGAGGCAUGAGAGCCUCUAAUUGAACCAUUUGAUGCCAUAUUCAAGUAAUUAUUUGUAAUUUAUAUGUUUUGUAAGAUUUCAAUAAGGGUUUGAAAAAAAUGGGAGGGGGUUAUGUCAUUUACAGUUCCAUAUAUUCCUAUACUUCCUUAAAUCUAGUAUAUGUUGGACUUUACUAGUAUUUUCAUUAUUAGUUUUUUUACCCUUUAGAAUGGAAACAUAUUAUAAGCAAAAAUUCACAAUCCACAAUCAGCAUGCAAAUUCAUUUUUCUUCAAUGAGUGCCCUAAAUGUUAACAUUAGUGCUGCAAAUCUAGAAACUCUCAUUGAAACUAUUAUUUUCUGGUAUGCAAAAUGAUGUGGAGAACAAAUUGUUGAGAAAAAGCAAGGUAAUGUAUGAUGUCAAUUCACAUGUUACCCCAUUGAGAUUUGUUGUAUCUACAGUUGAACUAAUUAUAUGUUUUUAUUCUUUUAGGAAGCUGGUGAAAAUUAUAGUAAUUCAGAUAAUUUAAUAUCCUCUGUAUAGUUGAUGAUGUUCAGGAACAAGCUCGGAUGUGAUAUGCAUUUGAGAGAAUUUGAACAAAAUUAAGAGACAACCAAGUUUUUACAGCACAAUGGGCAUGUUUCACUGUUCUUUCCUACUCCAAGAUUUUUGGAUAAGCUAAAUGUCGUGGCCAAUCAAGCUACUAUGUUGCUAUAUAGAUUCUUGAGUCGGAGGUCAUACAACUGUAUUUAUUCUUAUAAUCAUACUCUAAAUCAAUAGUUUUGGAUAUAAUUCUAUUUCAUACAUUUGCAAAGGCUAACUAUAGUGGAUGAUGGUAAUAACCAUGACUAUUUUUGUCCUUUAUGGUUGCUUAUUGAUGGUAAGGUAUUUGAUCAAUACAAACUUUUCCCACAAGUGCAAGGACAAGAUGCAUGAGUCCAUUGCUAUCAAAGAACACUAAGAGCCACGCUAGGCGGAACAAACUCUUCAUAUUUGAAGUUCCUGAGAAGAUCUAGUUAAAGUUGGAGAAGAGAGAAGAACUACAAAUUGGCUUAGGUCUACUGUAUGUGUAAGUGAACUAUAAUGUGAACCCAAUACUCCAAUUCAGCAUCAAAACCAGCACCCAAGACCAGGAAUUCAAAUCUGUUCUGCAUUUCACAAGUUCAGUUUCAGAAAUUGAUUUCAGGAAUCUGAUUUCAGAAUUCAGGUUCCUCUGUAUGAUAUGUUCUCAAUCACAAAGUCAUGGGAAGAAGAAAAGCCACUAAUUUGCUAUAGUUCAGCUUCAAGAAAUCAAAUUCUGAUUCAAUUCUCAAAGGACGUCUACAUUUCCAACAAUCCAGAAUUUUAAUUUCAGAGUUUCAGAAUUGAGAUUUCAAAGUAAAUUCAGCUUAAUUCCUGAAGGAUUCAGCUUUGAAGUGAGUAUCUUUUAGCACUAGAAUGAUUAAAACUUAAAUUUAAAACUGUACCAAUCAAGAAUAGCAUAGCGACUUGGCACAAAAUCAGAUUCUCACUGUUUCCUGCUGAUUCAGUUUCUGAAUCAAAUGGCAGGAUCUCACUUGCAGCAUGUCGCAAGUUGUUGCAAGCUUACUUCCUGCACAGGUAUGGAAAGACACUAUGAUUCAUUCAGCUCUCCUGCAGCUCUAGUUUACCUCCUUCCUUAAAAUAGCUUGUAGGUUGUGUCCUUGUUGUCAAAUGCAGGAAAUUUCUAAAGAAUGCUGCAAUCUGCUAGAUUGCAGCAUUGUAAAUGCAGGAUUCCAAUCAUGGAGGGGUUUAGAAGACAGUAACCCCAAACCACAGAGUAAAGGUUGUCCUUGGAAUAUAAUUCCAAUAGGGUUUGCACGAAACAAUUCACAUUUAGUUAUUAGUUCACACUCUUCAGCAGAAACAUAUGUGAACUCCUUGGAUUAAGUUUCAGCAUUUAAGAGUUGAGGUAAUUUCAGCUUGAGUUAUGAAGGGCUCAACUCGUCAAUGACUCUCAUUUAGCAUUGAGAUAAUAGGAGGUUGAAUUCCAAUAGCUGCUCAGAAUCAACACAUAGAAUUAACACUCAACAUGUUUUAGAUGCCAAGUUACAGAUCCUUUCAAUUCCUGUUAAUUUAUGUUCAUAACUUCUUUUUUUCUGACUAACUUCAGCUUCCACAAUGGCUUAAAUGAUAACAUUUACACUCCCAUAAUCUUCUAAAUUUAAUGUUUAUCUCAAAUAAUUCAACUUCCUAUAAACCCCACUAUAGAUUCAGCAAGUGUUGCAAAAUAGAGACCUAUCAGUCCUCAAUUGCAGUAGGCAGAAUAUCAAAACAUCCAAGUCUGUGUAGCAUCAAAGGAAGAAGACCAUCUAAAACAUACAUAUCUAAUAGGCUGGGUACCCGAAGACAAUGGUGGUUCAUUGCAAAUUGAUGAGGAGAAUAAUAGGAUGCUCAAUUUCUGCACUGUAAUUCGAAAUACAGUUUUAGAAAUCAGCUACAACUUCUGCUUCAAAUCCAGCUGCUCUUUUUCCCCUUUUUCUUAUUUACUUCCUUGGUUGUAACUUUUUUUUUUCAACUCAUGCUAACUUACUGAUUCUUUUUCUGGAAUGAAGCUGGAUAGUUUCGGAAAUUCAAUCCAUUGAAGUUGUAUGCUUCGAACCAUGGAAAUCUUGGAAAGAAAAAAACAACAAAUGACAAUGAGAGGUGGUCACAGGUUUAAUUGAAAGGUUUCUGAUUAGAGAAUUGCAUAAAUGAAUUGGCACACAAACAAAAUCAGGACAAUUCUGAAUUCAGGAAGUCAAGAAUUUAAUUCCAAAAACUUGGACUGCAGGCUUGAAUCAUGAAAAAUCUUGCAAAGGAGGGAAUGCCACUUGGAAAUAAGAUAGCACAAGCUUUGAUUUAAGUCAUCACUGCAACAGAAUUUCAGAAUUUAUUGGCUGAAUUCUGAUCUUUGCUUGCUGUUUAGAAAGCUCAUCUUCUCCCAACAAAACGGAAAGACAAUAGGAUUGGUACAACCAUCCAGUAGCUGAACAGAUAUCAAACACCAACUUUAGCACUUCCGAUUCCCAAAAUUCAGCUUCAAGGACUCAGUUCAACAGAAAUCAGAAUGCUACUUGUAAAAGCAUUUCAGUUACCACUCCCUUCUUGAAUUGCUUGAAGAUGUCUUCUCGUUGCUCAUAUGCAGGAGUUACUGAAGUUAAACCAACUGCUGUAUUUCAGUUUCAGUAAUCAGCCCAUAAAAUGCUCACAAAUCAGAGAAUCCAAGGGAUUGCAGUUACGUCAAAAUUCAGAUUAAAGGAUUUUAGAAAUCAGAAAUCUUAGUUUCUGUAAUUUCAGAAUUUGGAUUCAGAUUCAGUUAUACUUAAAUUCUGUAGUAACCAUUUUCUCCAAGGCUUUUGAGUCAGUAAGGGGUGGCUUCAUGGAAUAAAUGGAACAUCAAAUGACUAAUGAAAGAGCAAAGAGUUGCACUCGGAAUAUCCACGGAUCAGAUGCUGCAAGGCAAACUUGGCACACGGCAAUACUUCAAGUUUUUUUUUCCUAUAAUGCAAUUCUGUUUUUCCCUCAAUUUCGGGUCAUUGCUACAUUUACAUCAGAUUAAAACAUCCUUUUUCAUAUUGAGAUAAGCCUUCCACUACAUUGUAAACAUCCUUCCAAUUUGGUACACAUAUGACUCAAGAAUCCUUGUUUCAGCUCAGAAAUUCAAAACUUCAGAUAAGGCAAUCAGAUUCAAAGGAAAUUCAGGUUUAGAAUCAUUAAAGACUUGUAAAGGAUAGAAUACCAAUUGACAAUAAGGGAAUAAGAGUUUCACUUUAACUUUUCACUGAUCACAAACUUGCAGCAAAAGCUUGGCACACAAAUCACAACAUACAGAAUUUUCAGAAACUCCAGUUUCACCACAGACAGUAACAAUAGAGCAAGCAAAUGCAAUCCUUGAUCUCAUGAGGCAUCCAUAUUGUUUGAAAAUGCUACUAGUAUGAUUAGGUAAUCAAGAGAAAAUAGAACCACCAAAGAAACAAGACAGAGAGCUGAUAACCAAGUAGAGCAGUGGGAUUAACUCACUGAUACUGAUUAGUUUUCCAAUACGGAAUCUAGGAAGGAAUGCUUUCGUACUGUCCAAUCCAUUCCUUCCCUAUGCUGAUCACCAGAUUCUGGAAAAUUCAGAAUCACUGUAUUUUCCAAAAAAAACAAAGCAAUCAUCUGCUGAGCUUGUCCUCCCAUGUAUGAAACUACAAUCUUCAACUUUCUGAAUUCAGCAAUUCCAGCAUUGUCAAUUCCAAAAAACAUAAUUCUGUCUAGUUCCAUUUUGAGACUUAUGAGCCAAUGCAAGGUGACCUUCAUGGAACCAAUUGACAUUGUUUUCAACAAACCUUGUAACUAGAAUUCCUGGAACUGAUUUCAGCAGCAAGGUCCUGAAAAAAUUCCAACUGUUUUUACAUAAUUUCCAACUUCUUGUGCAGAUUUUUCCACAAGUUCUAUCAGAUUUAGUUACUGACUCCUACACCACUAAAACCUAAUUUUCUCACAUCUGUAGCAAGAACUUGACCACAACAUCAAAUUCAGUAACUCAACUUUACGAUUUCAGAAUUAGAGCUCCUUAAUUCUUUAGCUUAACAAGUUUCAAGGACAAGUUUUAAGGAAGUUGCAAGCAUAUUAAAAAAUAUGAUGGAUAGAUGUACACUGGUUUAAAAUGUUUUUAUUCCUUUGUUCCCUAGCAUAUAUUAUUAUACAUAAGUACUACAAGACUCUAGAUAAUGAAGCCUCGCAGAAUAGUUAUAUAACUGUGCUAACUUGCUAACUCUUGUUGUUGAUUCUUAUCUACCUUUUUAAUGUUUUUCUCCUAAUGUGCUUUUGAAGAUUAAAGUACCCCAUCCAAG